CCUACGGGUGGCAGCAGUGAGGAAUAUUGGUCAAUGGACGAGAGUCUGAACCAGCCAAGUAGCGUGAAGGAUGACUGCCCUAUGGGUUGUAAACUUCUUUUAUAAAGGAAUAAAACGAGGCACGUGUGCCUUUUUGCAUGUACUUUAUGAAUAAGGAUCGGCUAACUCCGUGCCAGCAGCCGCGGUACUACGGAGGAUCCGCGCGUUAUCCGGAUUUAGUGGGUUUAAAGGGAGCGGAGAUGGGUUGUUAAGUCAGUUGUGAAAGUUUGCGGCUCAACCGUAAAAUUGCAAUUGAUACUGGCAGUCUUGAGUACAGUUGAGGUAGGCGGAAUUCGUGGUGUAGCGGUGAAAUGCUUAGAUAGCACGAAGAACCCCGAUUGCGAAGGCAGCUGACUAAACUGUGACUGACAUUGAUGCUCGAAAGUGUGGGUAUCAAACAGGAUUAGAUACCCGAGUAGUG
rnacentral:rRNA from 1 species